UAGGGAAUCUUCGGCAAUGGGGGGAACCCUGACCGAGCAACGCCGCGUGAGUGAAGAAGGUUUUCGGAUCGUAAAGCUCUGUUGUUAAGGAAGAACGAGUGUGAGAAUGGAAAGUUCAUACUGUGACGGUACUUAACCAGAAAGGGACGGCUAACUACGUGCCAGCAGCCGCGGUAAUACGUAGGUCCCGAGCGUUGUCCGGAUUUAUUGGGCGUAAAGCGAGCGCAGGCGGUUAGAUAAGUCUGAAGUGAAAGGCAGUGGCUCAACCAUUGUAGGCUUUGGAAACUGUUUAACUUGGGUGCAGAAGGGGAGAGUGGAAUUCCAUGUGUAGCGGUGAAAUGCGUAGAUAUAUGGAGGAACACCGGUGGCGAAAGCGGCUCUCUGGUCUGUAACUGACGCUGAGGCUCGAAAGCGUGGGGAGCGAACAGG
rnacentral:rRNA from 1 species